rnacentral:rRNA from 1 species
CUCGUAGGCGGUUCGUCGCGUCCGGUGUGAAAGUCCAUCGCUUAACGGUGGAUCCGCGCCGGGUACGGGCGGGCUUGAGUGCGGUAGGGGAGACUGGAAUUCCCGGUGUAACGGUGGAAUGUGUAGAUAUCGGGUGGAACACCGGUGGCGAAGGCGACCCUCUGGGCCGAGACCGACGCUGAGGCGCGAAAGCUGGGGGAGCGAACA